UACGUAGGUGGCAAGCGUUGUCCGGAAUUAUUGGGCGUAAAGCGCGCGCAGGCGGUCCUUUAAGUCUGAUGUGAAAGCCCACGGCUCAACCGUGGAGGGUCAUUGGAAACUGGGGGACUUGAGUGCAGAAGAGGAGAGUGGAAUUCCACGUGUAGCGGUGAAAUGCGUAGAUAUCAAGAGGAACACCUGAGGUGAAGACGGGUUGCUGGGCCAACACUGACGCUGAUGCGCGAAAGCCAGGGGAGCAAACGGG
rnacentral:rRNA from 1 species